AGAGUUUGAUCAUGGCUCAGGAUGAACGCUAGCUACAGGCUUAACACAUGCAAGUCGAGGGGCAGCAUGUUGGUUGCUUGCAACCAACGAUGGCGACCGGCGCACGGGUGAGUAACGCGUGUCCAACCUACCCUUGUCCAUCGGAUAACCCGUCGAAAGGCGGCCUAACACGAUAUGCGGUUCACGGCAGGCAUCUAAGGUGAACGAAAUGUGAAGGAGAAGGAUGGGGGAUGCGUCUGAUUAGCUUGUUGGCGGGGUAACGGCCCACCAAGGCUACGAUCAGUAGGGGUUCUGAGAGGAAGGUCCCCCCANAUUGGAACUGAAGACACGGUCCAAAACUCCUACGGGAGGCU
rnacentral:rRNA from 1 species